rnacentral:rRNA from 1 species
ACCCGACUGCUAUUUGGGUGAGGAUAAGCCAUGCGAGUUGAAUGGGAAACCUAAAAAUCCCAUGGCAAACUGCUCAGUAACACAUGAUCAACUUACCCUAUAGAGGAAAAUAACCUCGGGAAACUGAGGAUAAUGUUCCAUAGUUGAAUCGGCUUGGAAAAGUUUUUCAAUAAAAGGGAUAAGAAAAAUGGUUCUUAUCUGCUAUAGGAUAGGAUCGUGCUCGAUUAUGGUUGUUGGUGAGGUAAAGGCUCACCAAGCCGAUAAUCGAUAGGGGCCGUGAGAGCGGGAGCCCCGAGAUGGGUACUGAGACAACGACCCAGGCCUUACGAGGCGCAGCAGGCGCGAAACCUCCGCAAUACACGAAAGUGUGACGGGAUUACCCAAAGUGUUCUAUUUAGAACUGUGGUAGGUGAGUAAUGUUCCCUACUAGAAAGGAGAGGGCAAGGCUGGUGCCAGCCGCCGCGGUAAAACCAGCUCUUCAAGUGGUCGGGAUAAUUAUUGGGCUUAAAGUGUCCGUAGCCGGUUUAGUAAGUUCCUGGUAAAAUCGGGUAGCUUAACUAUCUAUAUGCUAGGAAUACUGCUAUACUAGAGGGCGGGAGAGGUCUGAGGUACUACAGGGGUAGGGGUGAAAUCNNNUAAUCCUUGNNGGACCNCCAGUNGCGAAGGCGUCNGACNNGANCGNNNCNGACGGUGAGGGACGAANGCNAGGGNAGCGAACCGGAUUAGAUACCCGGGUAGUCCUNGCNGUAAACGAUGCNNNCUAGGUGNUGGCANNNCNNNGAGNNNUGNCAGUGCCGNAGAGAAGCCGUUAAGCCCGCCAUCUGGGGAGUACGGUCGCAAGGCUGAAACUUAAAGGAAUUGGCGGGGGAGCACUACAACGGGUGGAGCCUGCGGUUCAAUUGGAUUCAACGCCGGAAAACUCACCGGAGGCGACAGCGAGAUGAAGGUCAGGCUGAAGACCUUACCGGAUUAGCUGAGAGGUGGCGCAUGGCCGUCGGCAGUUCGUGUCGUGAAACAUCCUGUUAAGUCAGGCAACGGGCGAGACCCGCGCUCACAGUUGCCAGCAUCUCUUCCGAGAGGAUGGGCACUCUGUGAGGACUGCCGCCGCUAAGGUGGAGGAAGAAGCGGGCCACGGUAGGUCAGUAUGCCCCGAAUCCUCCGGGCUACACGCGUGCUACAAUGGGUGGUACAAUGGGUAUCAACCCCGAAAGGGGAAGGUAAUCUCCUAAAACCAUCCUCAGUUGGGAUCGAGGGCUGCAACUCGCCCUCGUGAACCUGGAAUCCGUAGUAAUCGCCCCUCAAAAUGGGGCGGUGAAUAUGUCCCUGCUCCUUGCACACACCGCCCGUCAAGCCAGCCGAGUGGGAUUUAGGUGAGGCCAUCUUUUUUGGGGUGUUCGAACCUAAGUCUCGUAAGGGGGGCU